GAUGAACGCUGGCGGCGUGCCUAAUACAUGCAAGUCGAGCGGUAAGGUCCCUUCGGGGAUACACGAGCGGCGGACGGCUGAGUAACGCGUAGGAACGUACCCCAAAGUGAGGGAUAAGCACCAGAAAUGGUGUCUAAUACCGCAUGUGAUCUUCGGAUUAAAGCUUUAUGCGCUUUGGGAACGGCCUGCGUCCGAUUAGUUAGUUGGCGAGGUAAAAGCUCACCAAGACGACGAUCGGUAGCUGGUCUGAGAGGAUGAUCAGCCAGACUGGGACUGAGACACGGCCCAGACUCCUACGGGAGGCAGCAGUAGGGAAUUUUCCACAAUGGACGAAAGUCUGAUGGAGCAACGCCGCGUGCAGGAUGAAGGCCUUCGGGUUGUAAACUGCUUUUGUGAGUGAAGACUUCCGACGGUAACUCACGAAUAAGGAUCGGCUAACUACGUG
rnacentral:rRNA from 1 species